AGAGUUUGAUCCUGGCUCAGAUUGAACGCUGGCGGCAGGCCUAACACAUGCAAGUCGAACGGUAACAGGAAGAAGCUUGCUUCUUUGCUGACGGGUGGCGGACGGGUGAGUAAUGUCUGGGAAACUGCCUGAUGGAGGGGGAUAACUACUGGAAACGGUAGCUAAUACCGCAUAACGUCGCAAGACCAAAGAGGGGGACCUUCGGGCCUCUUGCCAUCGGAUGUGCCCAGAUGGGAUUAGCUAGUAGGUGGGGUAACGGCUCACCUAGGCGACGAUCCCUAGCUGGUCUGAGAGGAUGACCAGCCACACUGGAACUGAGACACGGUCCAGACUCCUACGGGAGGCAGCAGUGGGGAAUAUUGCACAAUGGGCGCAAGCCUGAUGCAGCCAUGCCGCGUGUAUGAAGAAGGCCUUCGGGUUGUAAAGUACUUUCAGCGGGGAGGAAGGGAGUAAAGUUAAUACCUUUGCUCAUUGACGUUACCCGCAGAAGAAGCACCGG
rnacentral:rRNA from 1 species